GAAUGUUAUCACGGGAGACACACGGCGGGUGCUAACGUCCGUCGUGAAGAGGGAAACAACCCAGACCGCCAGCUAAGGUCCCAAAGUCAUGGUUAAGUGGGAAACGAUGUGGGAAGGCCCAGACAGCCAGGAUGUUGGCUUAGAAGCAGCCAUCAUUUAAAGAAAGCGUAAUAGCUCACUGGUCGAGUCGGCCUGCGCGGAAGAUGUAACGGGGCUAAACCAUGCACCGAAGCUGCGGCAGCGACGCUGAUGCGUUGUUGGGUAGGGGAGCGUUCUGUAAGCCUGUGAAGGUGGCCUGUGAGGGUUGCUGGAGGUAUCAGAAGUGCGAAUGCUGACAUAAGUAACGAUAAAGCGGGUGAAAAGCCCGCUCGCCGGAAGACCAAGGGUUCCUGUCCAACGUUAAUCGGGGCAGGGUGAGUCGACCCCUAAGGCGAGGCCGAAAGGCGUAGUCGAUGGGAAACGGGUUAAUAUUCCCGUACUUGGUGUUACUGCGAAGGGGGGACGGAGAAGGCUAUGUUGGCCGGGCGACGGUUGUCCCGGUUUAAGCGUGUAGGUAGG
rnacentral:rRNA from 1 species